rnacentral:rRNA from 1 species
GACGAACGCUGGCGGCGUGCCUAAUACAUGCAAGUUGAGCGCUGAAGGUUGGUACUUGUACCAACUGGAUGAGCAGCGAACGGGUGAGUAACGCGUGGGGAAUCUGCCUUUGAGCGGGGGACAACAUUUGGAAACGAAUGCUAAUACCGCAUAAAAACUUUAAACACAAGUUUUAAGUUUGAAAGAUGCAAUUGCAUCACUCAAAGAUGAUCCCGCGUUGUAUUAGCUAGUUGGUGAGGUAAAGGCUCACCAAGGCGAUGAUACAUAGCCGACCUGAGAGGGGGGUCGGCCACAUUGGGACUGGGACACGGCCCAAACUCCUACGGGAGGCAGCAGUAGGGAAUCUUCGGCAAUGGACGAAAGUCUGACCGGGCAACGCCGCGUGAGUGAAGAAGGGUUUCGGAUCGUAAAACUCUGUUGGUAGAGAAGAAAGUUGGUGAGAGUGGAAAGCGCAUCAAGUGACGGUAACUACCCAGAAAGGGACGGCUAACUACGUG